ACACGACUACAUUAGAUACCCCCGUAGUCCCAGCCGUAAACUAUGCGCGUUAGGUGUAUCGGUGACCACGAGUUACCGAGGUGCCGAAGGGAAACCGUGAAACGUGCCGCCUGGGAAGUACGGUCGCAAGGCUGAAACUUAAAGGAAUUGGCGGGGAGCACCACAACAGGUGGAGCCUGCGGUUUAAUUGGACUCAACGCCGGGAAGCUCACCGGAUAAGACAGCGGAAUGAUUGCCGGGCUGAAGACUCUGCAUGACUAGCUG
rnacentral:rRNA from 1 species